UACGGAGGGUGCAAGCGUUGUCCGGAAUCACUGGGCGUAAAGGGCGCGUAGGCGGCUCAUGAAGGCUGUGGUGAAAGUCCGGGGCUCAACCUCGGAUCGGCCGUGGCGACUCGUGGGCUGGAGCACUGUAGAGGCGGGUGGAAUUCCGGGUGUAGCGGUGGAAUGCGUAGAGAUCCGGAAGAACACCGGUGGCGAAGGCGGCCUGCUGGGCAGUAGCCGAAAGGCUUUCAAGCUGACACUGAGGCGCGACAGCGUGGGGAGCAAACAGG
rnacentral:rRNA from 1 species